UACGAAGGGGGCUAGCGUUGCUCGGAAUCACUGGGCGUAAAGCGCACGUAGGCGGAUCUUUAAGUCAGGGGUGAAAUCCUGGAGCUCAACUCCAGAACUGCCUUUGAUACUGGGGAUCUCGAGUCCGGAAGAGGUGAGUGGAACUCCGAGUGUAGAGGUGAAAUUCGUAGAUAUUCGGAAGAACACCAGUGGCGAAGGCGGCUCACUGGUCCGUACUGACGCUGAGGUGCGAAAGCGUGGGGAGCAAACAGG
rnacentral:rRNA from 1 species